GAUGAAGAAACGUAGCGAAAUGCGAUACCUGGUGUGAAUUGCAGAAUCCCGCGAACCAUCGAGUCUUUGAACGCAAGUUGCGCCCGAGGCCACCCGGCCGAGGGCACGCCUGCCUGGGCGUCACGCCAAAACACGCUCCCACCCCCCCUCACCGGGGGAGCGGGACGCGGCGUCUGGCCCCCCGUGCCGCGAGGCGCGGUGGGCCGAAGAUCGGGCUGCCGGCGUACCGUGCCGGGCACAGCGCGUGGUGGAUCUCUACUCGGCGCAGUGCACCCGGCGCGUAGCCGGCGCAGCGGCCCCUAAGGACCCAACGAACGGAGCGCGAGCCGCUCCGACCGCGACCCCCGGUCAGGCGGGACUACCCGCUGAGUUUAAGCAUAUCAAUAAGCGGAGGA
rnacentral:misc_RNA from 1 species